rnacentral:rRNA from 1 species
UACGUAGGUGACAAGCGUUGUCCGGAUUUACUGGGCGUAAAGAGCGCGCAGGCGGUCGAUCAAGUCGAGUGUGAAAGCCCCCGGCUCAACUGGGGAGGGUCAUUCGAAACUGGUCGACUCGAGGGCAGGAGAGGGUAGUGGAAUUCCCGGUGUAGUGGUGAAAUGCGUAGAUAUCGGGAGGAACACCAGUGGCGAAGGCGACUACCUGGCCUGUUCUUGACGCUGAGGCGCGAAAGCUAGGGGAGCAAACGGGG